rnacentral:rRNA from 1 species
UACGUAGGGGGCUAGCGUUGUCCGGAUUUAUUGGGCGUAAAGAGCGUGUAGGCGGCCAGGUAGGUCUGGUGUGAAAACUCGAGGCUUAACCUCGAGAUGUCAUCGGAAACCAUCUGGCUAGAGUCCGGAAGAGGAGAGUGGAAUUCCUGGUGUAGCGGUGAAAUGCGCAGAUAUCAGGAAGAACACCAACGGCGAAGGCAGCUCGCUGGGACGGUACUGACGCUGAGACGCGAAAGCGUGGGGAGCGAACAGG